CCUACGGGAGGCAGCAGUGGGGAAUAUUGCACAAUGGGCGCAAGCCUGAUGCAGCCAUGCCGCGUGUAUGAAGAAGGCCUUCGGGUUGUAAAGUACUUUCAGCGAGGAGGAAGGCGUUGUAGUUAAUAGCUGCAACGAUUGACGUUACUCGCAGAAGAAGCACCGGCUAACUCCGUGCCAGCAGCCGCGGUAAU
rnacentral:rRNA from 1 species